rnacentral:lncRNA from 1 species
CCUUGUUUAUUUUACAAUACAUUCGUUUAGUUAUAUAAUAUAUAGAUUUGUAGAGAGAGACCUUCCAAAAAACAUUAAAAUGUAUUACCAGCACGCGAAACCUUACAUUAGCGUGAAUAAAUGAAAACUUGGCAUACCACUUCUGAAAGGUUGCCAACCCCUGGGCUGGAAGAACCUGGAGAGUAUAUUUCUAUUCUAAUCUAAUCUACAUUUCUAUUUGUUCGGUUUUUGUAGGUUAAAUUACUGCAUCCUCUGCUCCACUCUCUCCCAAGGGUGUAAUGUUGCUGUGCACAAUGAGAAAUCUUGGGAAAAGAUUGAAAUGAAAUGGAAGUAGCAUAUGGUGGCAGAACCUAAGGAAUUAAAAGCCCAUUGAUUUUUAUGUGUAUGCACUGACUCAGAACCAGAAGUGUGAGUUUUCUUGCUUGUGGCUGCAGCCAGUAAAAUAUUUAUCUAUCAGGGAUGGUCUAGACAGUAUUUGGUCCUGCCAUGAGGGCAGGGGACUGGAUUUGAUGACCGCUGAAGGUCCCUUCCAGUCCUAGAGUCUAAGAAUUUAUGAAACUGGCUUUUCCUAAAUGCUGUAGACUGACAGUGCCUGGUAAAGGGCAGGGGGAGAGGGAGCAAGAGGAGAAAGGCAGAGACAUUGGAAAAGAAUAAUGGGGGGAGAAGAAAGAGACAGCGAACACAGAGAAACAAUACAUGAUUGAAGAUGUCCCAACUCGAUCUUGCUCAUCACAGGUGUUCAGAAAACUGGGGAGUUGUAGGUUUCAAAUAUUAAGGAGAUCUCCACAUACCUGAUCUCCCCCUCCUCCCCCCGCUCCCAUUUUAGCAUUCAUUUUUAUUUUGAAAUGUCUGGCUUACCCCUGAUCUCUUUCCCUAACUGUAUUGCAAUUUGGGUGGGUUUUUGUGUUGUUUUUUUGCUUCCCUUUUGUUCAUAUCAAUAUAACUAUAACAGCAAAGGAAUCUGUAGGAGCAAAAACUGACUCAAAACUUUAUUUCCCCAUCAUGCAGGAACAUGAUACAAACAUUGCACACAGCUGGAAUCAUAACACAGAAGGCCAGGGGAUGGGAGAUGCAGGUUUCCAAGUGUUCUGUCUUCUCAGAUGACACAUUCCAGCCCCUUGUAUUCCUCCCUCCUGUGUGACCUGCUGGGCUUUGACACAUUUAUUGUUUCAUUC